AUUGCUUAUCCAUUCUAAAUGUAAUAGUUUGCAUCUACCAACCCCAAAAUCUCCCUCCAUUCCACUCCCUCUCCCCUCCCCUUGGAAACCACAAAUAUGUUUUUUAUGUCUGUGAGUCUGUUCCUGUUUUCUAGAUAGGUUAAUUUGUGCCAUAUUUUAGAUUCCACAUAUAAGUGUUAUCAUAUGGUAUUUUUCUUUCUCCUAUGACUUGCUUCAUUUAUAUGGGAAAUUUUAGUUGCAUCCAUGUUGCUACAAAUGGCAUUAUUUUGUUCUUUUUUAUGACUGAGUAGUAUUCCCUUUAUGGUAAAAUGAAUGGAUUAAGAAGAUGUGGUACAUAUAUACCAUGUGUGUGACUCCUUUAUUCAUUCAUCCAUUGAUGGACACUUAGUUUGCUUCCAUAUUUUGGCUAGUGUAAAUAAUGCUACAGUGAACAAAGGGGUGCCUAUAUAAAAUUUAAUUAGUGUUUUUUUCUUCAAAAAAAUACCCAGCAGUAGGAUUGCUGGAUUGUGUGAUAGUUCUUUUUAAUUUUUUUGAGGAAUAUUCAUAUCUGUUUUCUGACGUACAUUCCUACCAACAAUGCACAAGUGUUCACUUUUCUGCACAUCCUUGCCAACACUUGUUAUUUGUUGUCUUUUUGGUAAAAGUCAUUCUGCCAGGUGUGAGGUGGUAUCUUACUGUGGUUUUGAUUUGCAUUUCCCUGAUGAUUAGUUGUAUUGAGAAUCUUUACAUUUGACUACUGGCCAUCUAUAGGACUUUGGAAAAAUGUCUAUUCAGGUCCUUUUAAAAAUUGGAUUGCUUGUGUUUUUGAUAUUGAGUUGUAUGAGUUUUGGAUAUUAACCCUUUAUCACAUACAUUGGUUGCAAAUAUCUUCUCCCAUUCAGUAGACAGCCUUUUUGUUUUACAGUUUCUUUUGCUGUGGAAAAAGCUUUUCAGUUUAAUAUAGUCUCAAUUGUUUAUUUUGCUUUUGUUGUCCUGACCUGAGGAAACAUUCAAGAAACUAUUGCUAAGACUAAUGUCAAAGAGCAUAUUGCCUUUGUUGUCUUCUAGGAGCUUUAUGGUUUCUGUUCUCACUUUUAAAUAUUUAAUCCAUUUUGACUUUAUUUUUGUAUAUGAUGUGAGAAAGCAGUCCAGUUUGAUUCUUUUGUUUGUAGCUGCCCUAUCUUCCCAAUAUUACUUAUUGAAGAGGAUUUCUUACACACUGCAUAUUCUUGCCUCUUUUGUCUUAGAUUAGUUGACCAUAUAAGCCUGGGUUUAUUUCUGGGAUCUCUCUUCUGUUCCAUUAAUGUAUCUGCUUGUUUUUGUGCCAGUACAUACUGUUUUCAUUACAAUUGCUUUGUAGUAUAGUUUCAAAUCUGGAGCAUAAUACCUCCAGUUUUGUUCUUUCUCAAGAUACUUUUGGCUAUUUGUGGUUUUUUGUGUUUCCAAAUAAAUUUUAGAAUUACUUUUUCUAAUUCUGUUAUAAAUGCCAUUAGUUGUAUUGGAUCUGGAGAUUGACUUAGGUAAUAUGGUCAUUUAAACCAUAUUAAUUUUUCCAAUCCACGUGUAUUAUAUCUUUCCAUUUGGUUGUGCCAUCAUCAGUUUCUUUCAUCUAAGUGUUAUAGUUUUGUGAGUCCAGAUCUUUUACCUCCUUGGUUAGAUUUAUUCCUAGGUAUUUUAUUCUUUUUGAUGAAAUUAUAAAUAGUAUUGUUUUCUUGAUUUCUCUUUUUUUGAUUUCUCUUUCUGAUAGUUCACUGUUAAUAAGUUCAACAGAUUUCUAUGUAUUAAUUUUGUAUCCUGCAACUUUACCGAAUUCAUUGAUGAAUUCUAAUAGUUUUUUAGUGCCAUCUUCAGGAUUUUCCAAAGGAUCUUUUCAUCUGCAGUGAUGGUUUUACUUCUUCUUUUCCAGUUGGGUUCCUUUUAUUUCUUUCUCUUUUAUAAUCACUGUGGUUAGGACUUCUAAUACUAUAUUGAAUAAAAAUGGUGAGAGUGGUCAUCCUUGUUUCUGAUUUUAGAGGAAAUGCUUUCAUAUUUUCACCAUUGAUUAUGAUGUUGGCUAUAGGUUUGUCAUAUAUAACCUUGAUUAUUAUGAUAUGUGUUCCCUGUAUAUCUAUUUUGUGAAUUUUUUAUCAUAGUUGGGUGUUGAAUUUUGUCAAAAUAUUAUUCUGCAUCUAUUGAAUGAUUAUAUGAUUUUUAUUCUUCAGUUUGUAGUGUGGUAUAUCAUAUUGAUUCAUUUGUGGAUAUUGAACCAUCCUUGCAUCCCUGGAUAAAUCCCACUUGGUCAUGGUAUGUGAUUCUUUUAAUGUAUUAUUGAACUAGGUUUGCUAAUAUUUUGAUGAUUUUUGCAUCUAUGAUCAUCAGUGAUAUUAGCCUGUAAUUUUCUUUUUUUGUGGUGUCUUUUUCUGGUUUUGGUAUUAAGGUGAUGCUGGCCUUGUAAAAUAAGUUUGAAAGUGUACCUUAAUUGUAUCUUUCUCUUCAACUUUUAGGAACAGUUUGAGAAGAAUAGGUGUUAACUUCUCUUUAAAUGUUUGGCAGAUAAAUUUCCUUCUUGUGUAAGAAUAUCAGUCAUAUUGGAUUAGGGUUUGCCUCAUUUUAUUUUAACUAUCUCUGUAAAGAUCCUGUUUCCAAAUCUCGUAUUCUGAGAUACUGGACGUUAGAACUUUAACCUGUGACCUACACUGCUGCAAUAAUGCACUGUGCUGGGUCAAGGAUCAAACCUGAGUCCCAGAGCUCCAGAGAUGCCACUGAUCCUGUUGUACAACAGUGGGAACUCCUCUAUACCCUUUUUAUAAUGGCAUUCUUGCUUUUAUGUAAACAUACCAGUCACAUUUAUGCUUCGGGACAUUUACACUUCUUUAAUUUCCCCCUGCCCCACAAUUGUCUUUUCCUACAUAAGCAAAUUCUUCCUUCAGGUCUUUGCUUUUAAUGUCACCAUUCAGAAAGGCCUUUUCUGAUUUCCCAUCUAAAAUUUGAAGCCACCUUCCAAUACUCCUUAUUUAACUUAUUUAGUUUAUGUUUCUUUUUAACUUUCAUCACUUUCUGGCAUACUACAUAUUUUAUUUAUUUUUAUAUUGCUUUUUUUUAAAAAAAUUUCCUAUUUGAGUGUAAGCUCCAGGUGGACAGGGAUAUUUGUCCAUUUCUUUUUUUAUUUCUGCAUCCCCAGAAUUUAGAGCAGGGCUUUCAGUUAGUAAAUAAUCAAUAUAUGUAUUUGUUAACAAAUGAGUAGAAAUAAGUAAUCACCUAUGUCAAGUAUUACUGAGAAGUAGUGGCUUAGACUUUGUAGGAUAAUGGUUGUAGGUGACCUCGGCAAGAUCAUCUAAAAUGGUAUGGUGGAAAAAAUUCCAAAUGGAAUGGGUUGAGAAAAUAGAGGUCAUGUAUUACCAACUCUUAUGUGUAAUAGGAAGAGAGAAACAGUACCAUAGAUAAAGGAGGCACGGGUCAAGGAAGACAGACUGCAGUAGUAAGGCAUAUAGGAAUGCCACUAGGAAUGUUUUCAUAGGGAAAAAUUCACGAGGUGAGUGAAGAAGGCAGAAGUCUGUGUAGCAAGGUCAGGCACAGUGUUGAGGUUACCUUUUAAUAGAGAAGACAGGUCCAUCGUUUAUAGUGAGAGAGCAAGAUAUUUAGUAUAGAUGGCAGGAAAGGUGAUGGAUUUUGUGGUGGUGAAAUAAAAUCAUUCUAAUUUGAAUGUCUAUUUUUCUCAAUUUUGAGAAAUAUUCAUCACAACUGAGUUGAGAAUUCUGUGUUGAGUGUUUAAACUACACUUGUGAGAGGAGUUGGAUUGUAGAGAAAGAGAAGAAAUGCAUAAAAAUAGGCCGAUCUAAUGAUAUUGUAACUAUCUUCUUCACAGGUGUUUGUUGAGUGCCUAUUAUUUUCAAGGCAUAUCAUUGAAGGGUAGAGUAAUUGGAGGGUGUGAGCAAAGUAGUCAUAAGAUUGUUAUUUGGACUUACCUUCUGUUUUCUUCAGAUCUCAGUUAAUCCAGUUUUCAGCAGCUACAAUUAUUUGAGGUUCUAAGAUCCUAUUUAUUUUAUUUUUAAGAUCAUUAAAACAAAAGUAGGUUAAGUUGGCCAAACAUUUCUGCCAUUAUCUGCUGUCUGUCCUCCAAUCCCUAAAUCUCAAGAUAAAUACCAGUCUUUCAUUAUGCUUUUAUGUGUGCAGUCCUGAUAUUUUAUUGAGUAUCAGAAUCCUAAAGGAAAUGACAGGUAAAUACAGAACAAAGAAGAACAUCUCAUCAUAAUUUUUUUUUCCAACAUUUGCUCUGAUUAUUUCUUUAACUCCCUCAUAUUCUUUACUGAAAAAUAAAGGAGCAAUUUCAAACCAAGACUUCCCAAGUAAUAGAGUAUAAUAUACAUAUAUAAAUGAUUCCAUUUCCAUGUAAUUUUCUGUCUUUUCAUGGAUUUUAACCUGUGGUCAUUUCCAAUAACUUGUUAACCUGGUAUAUAAUUAGACAUUGGGGAUGAGCUUGAUAAGGCAAAUUCUAAUAAAAAAUAUUAUUUUUUAAUAUUUUAAAAUGGAAAAAAGAGAUUCAUGAUUCUCUUGUUCUGAGUGUUAUGCUUUCCUGAUCUAGUAACUCACAAAUCAAGUUAAUGUGCUCAAUUUUAUUAUUUUUACUAAGAUAUAAAAAAUGGGAAAAGGAAUGCCCUUACAAACUUAACUAACGCAUGUUCAGGGGCCUGGGAAACCAAAUAAAUAAAUCAAGACAUUGUCUUUGAACCAUGCCAGUUGGGCAUUUUCAGGGUUACUUAAUAUAAAUUAGCAAUGUUUAGGGCCAGUAAUAUAUCUGAGAGUUAAAACUUAUGCAGUUUUAGCUUGGUGCCUAAUUUUUUUUUUUUAACGUGAAAAAUGCAAAAAUCCACUCAUUAAAGAAUAAGUAGGAGAUGCCUUUCCCCAAAAUGGUAAGAGAAAAUGAUAGAUUUA
ensembl:lncRNA